rnacentral:rRNA from 1 species
GACGAACGCUGGCGGCGUGCUUAACACAUGCAAGUCGAACGGAAAGGCCCUGCUUUUGUGGGGUGCUCGAGUGGCGAACGGGUGAGUAACACGUGAGUAACCUGCCCUUGACUUUGGGAUAACUUCAGGAAACUGGGGCUAAUACCGGAUAGGAGCUCCUGCUGCAUGGUGGGGGUUGGAAAGUUUCGGCGGUUGGGGAUGGACUCGCGGCUUAUCAGCUUGUUGGUGGGGUAGUGGCUUACCAAGGCUUUGACGGGUAGCCGGCCUGAGAGGGUGACCGGCCACAUUGGGAAUGAGAUACGGCCCAGACUCCUACGGGAGGCAGCAGUGGGGAAUAUUGCACAAUGGGCGGAAGCCUGAUGCAGCAACGCCGCGUGCGGGAUGACGGCCUUCGGGUUGUAAACCGCUUUCGCCUGUGACGAAGCGUGAGUGACGGUAAUGGGUAAAGAAGCACAGGCUAACUACGUG